UACGGGGGGGGCAAGCGUUGUUCGGAAUUACUGGGCGUAAAGGGUUCGUAGGUGGCUUGUUAAGUCAGACGUGAAAUCCCUCGGCUCAACCGGGGAACUGCGUCUGAGACUGAUGAGCUCGAGUGCAGGAGAGGAAAGUGGAAUUCCUGGUGUAGCGGUGAAAUGCGCAGAUAUCAGGAAGAACACCAAUGGCGAAAGCAGCUUUCUGGGACGGUACUGACGCUGAGACGCGAAAGCGUGGGGAGCGAACAGG
rnacentral:rRNA from 1 species